rnacentral:rRNA from 1 species
GGCGGCGUGCUUAACACAUGCAAGUCGAACGAAGAAGGUUAGAAUGAGAGCUUCGGCAGGAUUUCUUUCCAUCUUAGUGGCGGACGGGUGAGUAACGUGUGGGCAACCUGCCCUGUACUGUGGAAUAAUCAUUGGAAACGAUGACUAAUACCGCAUGUGGUCCUCGGAAGGCAUCUUCUGAGGAAGAAAGGAUUUAUUCGGUACAGGAUGGGCCCGCAUCUGAUUAGCUAGUUGGUGAGAUAACAGCCCACCAAGGCGACGAUCAGUAGCCGACCUGAGAGGGUGAUCGGCCACAUUGGGACUGAGACACGGCCCAAACUCCUACGGGAGGCAGCAGUGGGGAAUAUUGCACAAUGGGCGAAAGCCUGAUGCAGCAACGCCGCGUGAAGGAUGAAGGGUUUCGGCUCGUAAACUUCUAUCAAUAGGGAAGAAACAAAUGACGGUACCUAAAUAAGAAGCCCCGGCUAACUACGUGCCAGCAGCCGCGGUAAUACGUAGGGGGCAAGCGUUAUCCGGAAUUACUGGGUGUAAAGGGAGCGUAGGCGGCAUGGUAAGCCAGAUGUGAAAGCCUUGGGCUUAACCCGAGGAUUGCAUUUGGAACUAUCAAGCUAGAGUACAGGAGAGGAAAGCGGAAUUCCUAGUGUAGCGGUGAAAUGCGUAGAUAUUAGGAAGAACACCAGUGGCGAAGGCGGCUUUCUGGACUGAAACUGACGCUGAGGCUCGAAAGCGUGGGAGCAAACAGGAUUAGAUACCCUGGUAGUCCACGCCGUAAACGAUGAGUGCUAGGUGUCGGGGAGGAAUCCUCGGUGCCGCAGCUAACGCAAUAAGCACUCCACCUGGGGAGUACGACCGCAAGGUUGAAACUCAAAGGAAUUGACGGGGGCCCGCACAAGCGGUGGAGCAUGUGGUUUAAUUCGAAGCAACGCGAAGAACCUUACCAAGGCUUGACAUCCCGAUGACCGUCCUAGAGAUAGGACUUCUCUUCGGAGCAUCGGUGACAGGUGGUGCAUGGUUGUCGUCAGCUCGUGUCGUGAGAUGUUGGGUUAAGUCCCGCAACGAGCGCAACCCUUAUCUUCAGUAGCCAUCAUUCAGUUGGGCACUCUGGAGAGACUGCCGUGGAUAACACGGAGGAAGGUGGGGAUGACGUCAAAUCAUCAUGCCCCUUAUGUCUUGGGCUACACACGUGCUACAAUGGCUGGUAACAAAGUGACGCAAGACGGCGACGUUAAGCAAAUCACAAAAACCCAGUCCCAGUUCGGAUUGUAGUCUGCAACUCGACUACAUGAAGCUGGAAUCGCUAGUAAUCGCGAAUCAGCAUGUCGCGGUGAAUACGUUCCCGGGCCUUGUACACACCGCCCGUCACACCAUGGGAGUUGGAGGCACCCGAAGUCGGUGACCUAACCGUAAGGAAGGAGCCGCCGAAGGUGAAGCCAGUGACUGGGGUGAAGUA